rnacentral:sRNA from 1 species
GGCUGGAGUGCAGUGGCACGACCUUGGCUUGCUGCAACCUCCGCCUCCUGGGUUCAAGCAAUUCCCCUGCCUCAGCCUCCCAAGCAGCUGGGACUACAGAUAAACAACAACAAAAAAAUGAAGAGACAAGAAGUCAAGAGACUUGCCCAAAGAGACCCAGCUAAUGCAGAUGGCAGAGGCAGGAUUCAAGCACAGAUCUUUUCAUUCUAAGUCCAGAACACUCUCCAGUCACCACAGGCUACUGCCUGUGUGUUGAUUUUAUUUUGUGAGUGGGUUGCAUUCAUUUUCAAGGGUGUGUAGGAAUUUAGAAAGCAGAAUAAACCAAAGCGAGCAA